rnacentral:rRNA from 1 species
UACGAAGGGGACUAGCGUUGUUCGGAAUUACUGGGCGUAAAGCGCACGUAGGCGGAUUUGUAAGUCAGGGGUGAAAUCCCGGGGCUCAACCUCGGAACUGCCUUUGAUACUGCAAAUCUCGAGUCCGAUAGAGGUGGGUGGAAUUCCUAGUGUAGAGGUGAAAUUCGUAGAUAUUCGCAAGAACACCAGUGGCGAAGGCGGCUCACUGGCCCGGUACUGACGCUGAGGUGCGAAAGCGUGGGGAGCAAACAGGG